AUCAAACUAUGUUCUGAUAGUAUAUCAGGCUAUCAAUAACAUUAUAUCACUGAUCAAUAGGCUCUGCAUUAAACCAAAACUCUUUCUGAAGUGAGAAUCUCUUCUUUAUCUGCCAAAAUUCAUGAGGAAGAAACACCAGGUUACCUUGACUUAUGGACAUAGAUCCAUGGAUAUGAACUCUGAAUUGCAUAAUCAUGCUGAAUGUUAACAGUUACUAACAAUGAGUUAUCAAAGCUGAGUAACACUCAACAACCUUAUACAUAAUUGAGUCACCUUACUUCUGCCAAGGCAUAGAGAGGGUACUGGAAGAGUAUCAGAAUGUACCAGAGAUUCCUGGAAGAAUCUUUAGAACUUGCUGCAUGCUGAAAAGACAGCCUGAGGACAUGAAAGAAUUAAAGAAUGACUGUGAAGUGAAAAAUAACCACAGCGUAACAUUUGGAUGGAAAGAAAAAUGGCUAAAACGAGGCACAAUGAACAGUGAGCCAAGGACUCUGUGAGGGAGAAGAAUCCAUGGGUUAUUAGAAGCUGUGACAUAGUGACUGUGUAUUACUUGACUGGGUGUAUCACUGAAGAGAACCUGCAAGUUUCAGCAUCUUCAUCAUUAUCAUUGCCAGCAUCAUCAACAUAAUCACUAUCACUUACACUCACACACUUCUUAUCCGCUAUGACUGUAGAGUAAUAUAGCCUUCACAUUGUUUCCACAUACUAUGCUCAUUUGCUUCUCACAAAACUCUGUGUGGUUGUUAAGGCAGCUAUUUCUAUAAUUUCACUGGAAGUUUACCUUGUGUCCCGAAAGAAAAAAUAAAUACAUUGUAAAAGUUAAAAGCACAAAACACUACAAUUUGGAUCAAGUUGCGUGUAAAAACAAAAUCUGGAUACCUAUAGCACAGCUACUAAUCAUACGGUUACCUUCAUUAUUGAUUUCCAGAAGAACAUCCUUCUUUUAAGAAAAUAUAUCAUUGCACUGAAGACUGGUGAUUUUAACCAUUCUCGUUGUACCUUUACUUUAAUGCCCCUUUAACAUUUUUAUGCAAAAACAACACUAAUACUUUCCAGGCAUUUCAUUAGAAACACUGGAUUCAUAUAAGGUAAAAUACAAAGUGAGAAGUAGCAAUAAGAUUAUAAUGAGCAUCAUAUAAUCACUCAUCAUUCAUGGCAAAAGAAAUCAAACCAAAAUAGCACAAAACACCAGCCAAGUAGGAAUGAGGAAAUGCUGCCCCCUACAAUCAUUAUUAUGAAUGUGGGUUCUUUAAUUUCACUUGAGCUCAUAAAAGCAUAGUCUAAUAUAAUGUAUCCCUGUCUCUUCAAUUGACCAUCAUUUACCUUCCCGUCCAGAAAACACAUUUAUGAAUUAGGUUCAAAACCAUUUUUGGUUGUGUGCAUUUCAUACUCCAAGAUUCCUGCUGAAUGGUGUUAUAGAAAGUACAGUUAUUAGUGCUGAAAUUCACCUCAAUUCUAUUUCUGAAAAAAGGUCUCUUAAGCACUUGCCAGAGUUCCUUCUUCCCUGUAAUCAAUAAAAAUUUAAAA
rnacentral:lncRNA from 1 species